AGCUGAUCGUGGAAUAUCUCUGAGACAAGAGGCUGCACAAACUGACAUGAUGCAAUGAUGGUAUUCGCUCACAUGACGUAACCGCGGGCUGUAUAAAAGGUGGACGCAGUAGAAGCAGAACGCAGAUGUAACGUCUGCUCCUAUAGAAGGUCUGUGGAAACCUUUCAUGAGUUUAUGAGCUCAGGCAUCGUAUUCGGAUCAACUUUGCACAUUUUCGUCAUUCUAAAUGUAAGAAAGCCAGAGAUUUCAGUCCGAUCCGUCCCUCGUCAUCAAAACCCCGAGAAAAAUAUGAUUUUUCUUUUCCAUUAUCAAACUCGAUCAGUUUUGAAGUAACAGUCGAUACAGUACGUCAACCAGGGACAGCAAAUGGAAAUCAGCUUCCAAGUUUUUAUCACAAAUUGAGAAACACAACAGAGCUGAUGCUGUAGCACAAAAGAGAAAGUUAUCUUGAGCCACUUUGUUCAUGUGGUCAUGCAGCGUAUCUCAGCGGUUAAUAGAAUAUGACGGUACAAUAGAGACCAGAUUAGUUUGAGCCCUAAAUGUUUGACAAAAGGCUGAAGUCACCGAGGGUUAGGAAAGCAGAGUUUUCCUUCAAGGCUGAUGCACUUCAGAUGAAUAUAAAUCAUUUAUUUCAUUUAUUUAACUUUUUUGUGAGUCAUAAAAACCAAAUAAUUAAAAAAAAACAGAAAAAGAAAAGAAACAGAAUAUCAAUUAAAGCAGAAACAUUACAGCCAGAUCUCUGUAAACAAACACAAGAUGUAAACUUAUGGAAGAAAAACAAAGAAAUGAAACACAAAGAAAAGGAAAACAUGCAAGUUUCUUUUUGGCAAACACAGAUUGUCAUUUUUAAAGAAAAGGAUUAAUGCUGAUGAUGUCGGGCACGCUGCUCUUCAGAUGAUAAGAAGGAAGUUUAGGGCUGUUCUUUAAAAAAAGGCACGUUUCAUAACUGAUCUGCUCGCACAAACACACACGUUGAGUCUGGCUUCAGGUGAAGUAUCAAACAUCUUUUCAGGGUUCACGUGUUCGUAUCAUUCGCUUCACUUCAGGUCAUUGCAAACAUGUAAAUGGCUUCUAAACAUCACCGCUCCUCCCUCAACCCAGACCGAAGCUGGCGGGCGUCACACCAGUGGGACCCACCGCCGAUAUUUGCAGUCAAUUCGAUUAUUGGCGACGGAUCUUGUUAAAGACGGGCGCGUCCUGCUGACGCCACAGACGCCGUCACCCCUGUAACCUUCAGCAGUGCUGGACUGACGCUGCAGUGCCUUAAAAACACUCGAGUCGCAGCACAUUACCUUUCAAUUUAAACUGCAUUACAGCGGUUGAUGAAAAAGCUGCGGCGCCUUUGGAACCACUGCUCAACCCGCUGAACCCUCCCAACACCCUCAAACUGCGUUUGCAUGUAAAUUGACCACAACUGUUAAUUCUUCUACAGGCUGAGAACAACAGCAACAAUUAAAACCCGGAAGAAAAUACUUUCCCACAGUCUCGUGUAAUCAUCCUGUACACGCUGCAUAUACUGUAGGACGUUUUAACUGUGCUUUGGACUAAAAGUGUGGAUGUCUUUGCUGGGUCAGCUGACCUGUCCGUUCUUCCUUUGACAGACAGAUGCUCAGUUUAACCAUAAACAUAACCUGGAUCUUUAUUCUGAGAUGUAAACAAAAACAAUGUGAGACAAUGUAGGAAUGUUAUGAAGUCCACAGACAAAAAAAGCUGUUUUUACACAGUAAAGGUGCAGAAAAUCCUUGUAAACCAAAACUAUUUCCCCACUGGAAAUACUUCCAGACCAUCUGAUGUUCAAUCAGGCUGACUGGGACUUUUACAUACUUCAGCUUCAAACCAAAUAAAAGCUCCAUUUACCUCACAUGUUACCAUCACCAGAAAGCAGUAGAAAUCUGUACUUGUCCUCAUUUUCCAUUUGUUCCAAACACUCUGAGGUGUGGAGCCUCAGACACUAAUAAUCUGAAAUUAAAAUCCACGGGAGAAUUUCACAGCCGCACGCAUCCGGGCGGAGAUAACCUUUAGGUGGUUUUUAUUAAACUUGACCUAUGACUCUUUAUAUGCGGUUUUAAUGCUGAUCUGAAUCCACUGAAAUUACAUUUAUUUAAAUAAUUAUUUAUUUUAUCCAAACAACUGGGCAAAGACUUCGAGAAGGACUUUGGUGUUACCCAGUCACGAUUUAAGCAUCUCAAAGUCAAAGCCUUACAUAAAGGGAAGUAGUGCUAACCUAGAGUAAACCUAGAGUUUAUUAUUAGACUGGCAAGUCCUCUACAUCCGACAGAGGGGCUGAAGCAGCAGAUGGAAAGGGCUGCCUCCGUGAGCCCAUAACCCCGUUAAGUGGUAGAAAAUGGACGGAUGCAACCAAACUACAUCAGCCAAGCAGGAAUCUGUAUCUCUGUUAUAAAGCAACACACCUCCCAGCUCUACUUUCUUGCGCUUCUUAAAUGCUGAAUUUUGUCUUUGGUGGUUGCAAACAGUCACAAAAUCAUAUUCAACAAAAAGAACAAAAGAACUCCUAACAGCUCCAACACACUAAAGCAAAAAUAGAAAAGCGACUGAAGAUCGGUGAAGGAUUGCAAAUAAUCCCAGACUGAUUCAUAAACAGUCUGAGUCGGUCUGCACUGAUGUGUCUCUACGCAGCAGGUACUUCACUCAGCUGGUGGCAUUCUGGUUACGUUGUUACAUAAAAACAAAGGUUGCUUAUAUUAACGUGCAGUUAAGUUGCCGUCCUGCAGCAACUACGUUGCUAUCUGAUGAGGGACUUCUGUUCUGUUCUAGAUGCCAGACUGAAUGUAAAAUGCCAACUUGACCCUGUUCAAUGGCACACUGUCUUGCUGCCUUUUUAUUUCCAUUUGUCCAUUUAUUUCCAGAGCUGUUUGUCUCCAAAGGCUGAAAGUUCAUUGCCCAUGAUUGCAUUCAUCUUUGCCGCGUUGUGAUCUCAACUGUUUUCCUUA
ensembl:lncRNA